CAAAGAUGUUCUGAAGGUGAUUGUUUGAUUUGUCCACAUUAUCUCACCUGAGGAAGAAACCCAGUGAAGAAAAGAGGAAGAUACAGCAGAUUCUCAAGCUUCUGAUCUGCCUUGAGUGACCUCCACUAUUAAUUAUGGACUUGCAACUCUUGAAGAUGUUCCCUUUGUGAGAGAGGAACUGGGAAGGUGUUGCUAUACAAGAUUCCCGUAUGAGAUGAGAGAAUUGUUUUGUGUACCACCUGGGAUGCUUGCACGAUUACACAGCCUGUUUG
rnacentral:lncRNA from 1 species